rnacentral:lncRNA from 1 species
GGGAGGCACAAUCAUAGCCUCUCUGUCAAGAGACCAUGAAUAAAUAGCAUGUGACCUACAUCAUAAUGAACGCUAGAGAUGAACCAACCUCUUUCUAAGAGGCCACAUUCCCUUAGUGGAGGGCUUUCAGGAAAAUAAAACAUGCACACAGGGCUAACUUGCCCUCCUGUGCAGGAAGUAAUACCUCAAAAGGAAUGAAGCCUGAAGAAAAUCUACAGAGACAUUCACAGGGCUUUGGUCACUCAGCAAUAAUCAAGGUCAUUACCAAGCAUGCAGUGGGUGUCAAGUGGAUCACAUCAUAUUUAUUACAGUACAACUAGGAUGAGGACACCAAGGUUCCUGGUGAAGUUGGGAGAACUAUGGAUCUGCCUUCAAAGGAUCUUGGUUCAAAUCUUGGCUCUGAUGUAUAUUACCUAUGUGAUCUUGGAUAAAUAAUAGAACCUUCCCUGAUCUCAGUUUUCUCAUCUAUAAAAUGGUGGGGUUGGAUUGAAUAAUUUCUAAAGUCUCUACUAGCUCCAAAUUUUGAACCUAUGAUCCUAUGAUAAACAGAAUUAAACUGAUUUAUUCAAGUAAGCCCCAAAGCCAGCAUUUAAACACCACACUUUUGUCUUCUAAUCUAGUACUUUUUUUUAUGACAGACAUCAUAUUGUCUCAGACAUUUAUUAUUCAUUGAUGAUGACAAUUGUUACAGCUGGCCCUUUGUGGUGUUGUAGACACAGAAUCUUGGAGCUGGAAGAAACCUAAGCAACCAUUUAGUCCAAAUUACACCUGAAAAGGAAUCCUUAUAACAGGACACCCAAUAAGUGGCCAUCUAUUCUCUACCUUAAGAAGGG